CAGCCGCCGCGGUAAUACCGGCGGCCCGAGUGGCGGUCACUAUUAUUGGGCUUAAAGCGUCCGUAGCCGGGUUGGGAAGUCCUCCGGGGAAUCUGGCCGCUUAACGGUCAGAAUGCCGGAGGAUACUCCCAGCCUAGGGAGCGGGAGAGGCCGAGGGUAUUCCCGGAGUAGGGGUGAAAUCCUAUAAUCCCGGGAGGACCACCUGUGGCGAAGGCGCUCGGCUGGAACGCGUCCGACGGUGAGGGACGAAGGCCAGGGGAGCAAACCGGAUUAGAUACCCGGGUAGUCCUGGCUGUAAACGAUGCGGACUUUGUGUCGGACAAGCUAUGAGCUUGUCCGGUGCCGGAGGGAAACCGUUAAGUCCGCCGCCUGGGGAGUACGGCCGCAAGGCUGAAACUUAAAGGAAUUGGGGG
rnacentral:rRNA from 1 species